UGUCUCCUCAUCUCAUGACCUUACCAGGCAGCCUCAUAGAACAAGGUGCCCUACAGAAGAAGGCACGAAGUGUCAGGGGGUACAAAGAGCAGUGAGGUAGAGACACUCCGGAGAAGAUGUCGAUCCAGAGGGAAGGCCAGGUGCCCCACUGGAGCAAAGUUAAUCAUGACAGUAAAAACAACUAACAUGCCUGAAGGCUUACGAUUCUCACGCAAGUCCCCUGUCACCACCUCCAUGCUCUUUUCUCAUCUCUGCCUAGCGCCUCUGAAUCCAAAACUCAGAGCUGGCUCCUGGGACCAGGCCAGACAAGUCUGUGAAACUGCAGGGCCACCAAGCCCUCGCUCAGCUCAGCCCUUCAGGGAGCUGGGAGCCCUACCCGAAGAGCUGUCCUGUGUAUUGGGAGACUCUGACUUCUCUAGCCUGGCCUUGUGCCUCUCUAAGAGCCCUCAGGCUUUUCCAGCUUCCAGGCCUGCAGCUCCUCUCUGGCUGGACUCAGGCUUUGAUCAGACCUGGGUGGAUCCUGAGCCUCAACAGCAGCCACAGCCAAGAGUUGCCUGGAUUGAUCUCAAUGCCUGCCCCUCCCAGGCCUAACCUGGGUUGUCCCACACCAGAUCCCCAGGAGUUGGACCACAGUGCCCCUGGGAACUGCAGGGAAGCACAGAGGACCCCACUCAGGGGCCCAUCCUCUCCACUGGCUCCUCUGGGUUCACACACCAGGCACUGUGGCUGUCCUCAGAACUGACUUCCCUGUGGCCAGAGAGCUGCCUUUCCCGCUAUGUGCUGUAACUACCUACAGUUCCUCCCGCCUCUAGGCCCACAGAGGUCGUUCUUUUCCCUGCUCUGAGCAGGAGUUAU